GUGGUUUGUGAACUGGCACUGGCGGUGGAAGCUCAAUCUUUGGCGACUUAGGCGGGCAUGGCUUCUUGGGGAUUGUUGGUGGCUUGUGUACUGGAACCGGAGGUGGGUGCUCUACCUUUGGAGGUGGCUUGUAAACCGGAACCGGAGGUGGGUGCUCUACCUUUGGAGGCGGCUUGUAAACCGGAACCGGAGGUGGGUGCUCUACCUUUGGAGGCGGCUUGUAAACCGGAACUGGAGGUGGGUGCUCUACCUUUGGAGGUGGCUUGUAAACCGGGACAGGUGGUGGAUGCUCCACCUUUGGAGGUGGCUCGUACACUGGAACCGGAGGUGGUGGGCAAGGUUUAGGAAACGGUGGAAGCUCCAAAGGUGGAGGUAGAGGGAAAGGGUGAUCAAAUCCCUUAAAAGGAGGGAACUUAGGCAUAGGCCAAAAGAAUUUGGAAACACAAAGUUCAGGUGAAAAUUUGAGAUUUUGUUUGAGACCCAAAACGUGUUUGUCUCCAGAUUUGUAUAGAAACACGAUCUGGUUGGACUCUAGGCCGUCAUGAGCCGGGCAAGGUGUUCC
rnacentral:lncRNA from 1 species